rnacentral:rRNA from 1 species
CACCGCGGUUAUACGAGAGGCCCAAGUUGACAGACACCGGCGUAAAGAGUGGUUAAUUUAUACUAAACUAAAGCCGAACACCUUCAAGACCGUUAUACGUACCCGAAGGCAGGAAGAUCUCCAACGAAAGUGGCUUUAACUUAUAAUGACCCCACGAAAGCUAGGAUA